rnacentral:misc_RNA from 1 species
UCUCCGUAGGUGAACCUGCGGAGGGAUCAUUACUGAGUGAGGGCUUCGGUCCGACCUCCAACCCUUUGUGAACCAAACUUGUUGCUUCGGGGGCGACCCUGCCGCUUCGGCGGGGCGGCGCCCCCGGAGGCCGUUAAACACUGCAUCAUUGCGUCGGAGUUAAAGUAAAUUAAACAAAACUUGCAACAACGGAUCUCUUGGUUCCAGCAUCGAUAAAACGCGGC